CUUCAGGAAAAUGUCCUGUGGUCCAGGCAGCGCGGAGCAGUAAAGAGAAUCAGAGCCAUCACACCUGCUGCCUAAGCCAGUUGUGUGCGGUGAUGCUCUCCAUGCCGUGCAGAGCAGGAGGGCGGAGGUUGCGAAGUGCGGGUGCAGGCGCUGCCUCUUUCUGCAGGAUCCUCAGCUGUAAUCCUACACUGGCAAGCCUGCAGGGGCACAGCCCCUCCACCUUGAACCGCGCCUUGGUCGCAGCGCUGCACUAUGGCCCCCUACGCGAGCCAUUCCGCAGGAACUUGGCGGAAGAGCCCUAGGGGAUGAGGCCUGGCGCUGCCUGAGCGCCUCCCAGAGCUUGCGCUGCGUGCCCGGGGCUAGCUCAUUGGCAAGAACACCUCGUGCAAAGGCCGGCUGCCGGAGGCGCAAGUAGCUGUUCAUCCGCGCGCAUUCAUCCGCGCGCCUGGCCUCUUUAGUGCAGCAUCCCUUCCCGGGGGGGAGGGGGAGCGCGGGGGGCAGCGCUUUGCAAAAGGCUCCACAGCUUCUGAAAGGCUCCAGACCUCAGCAUGGAACCCAGGCGGCUGUGUUCUCUUGGGGCCAAAGACCAGCAUUAAAAACAAGCAAAUAAAAAAUCUCGGUUUGGCCUGAAUGGAAGUUCCCACAACUUUGAAGAACUCCCCAGGCUGGAAAAGAUGAUAGCAUGAAGCUAUGUCUGUGUCCCCUCAAAUCAAUCCUGGGGAAUUUUGCUUGGACAUGUAUUCAAGACGGAGUGGUGUGAGAGGCCACAGCAAGAAGGUGACUGUCUAUAAAGUAGGAAGACAGGCUUUUCCAGAAACUGACUGAAGGAAGCCUCAUCUUUGAUUCAUAUCCUCCAAAAUGUGAGAAUAUAAGUAUCUGUUCCUUAAGACAUUCAAUGUGUGAUAUGUUUCUGGCAUGCUAAACCAAGUAACAGCAUUUGGUAAGACUGGUUCUUCCACUUUAUCAUUUUGGGGGUUUAUUGUUUUGAUUGUGCAUAUUUGUAGGACUCAGCAUGAUAAUUUAAUCCAUGGAUUAUGUAAUGAUCAAAUUGGAAUAGGUAGCAUUUCUGUGUCUUUAUACAUUUGAAGUAAUAUUCUGUGGGGCUAGUUAUGGAACCUAAGGCCUUGUGCAUGCUUGGCAAGGGUUUCACCACUAAGCUAUAGCCAGACAGAACCCCUAAAAUGUUAACACGUCGUAGAUGUACAUAUAAAAAUGCAGUGUAUAGUAUGGUAUUUCAGUAUUUCAGUAUCUUCAUUAUUGAGAUCAGGCUAUGCCCUACUCUAAGUUACUCUACAGUGGUUUUUCAGGCUGUGCCCUGCCCUAGGAGACUCUAUUUUACAAGUAACUUUUGACUCCCUUUUGUUAGAGAAGUAUAACUGCAGCCCCUGGGUGGACCCAUAAACUGAAUCACUGGUCAGGCAACCAUCCAUCCAAAACAGACUAAAAAAUGACUUGUGCCUGAGAGUAUAAAGGGAGCCAUCCUAAAAGUUUAUUGUGCAGAAUUAUGGUUGUUAUAUCAGGGAACUCAGGACCAAGAACAUAUAAGACAUAGAAAUGUAAUUUCCUCAUGUGGACCUCCUAAAGUGAUGGAUACCCAGAACUGCAAUGCUAUGGCUACACACCAGCCUAUCAUCUGAUACCUGGUGAUGCUCUCAAGGACUGAGGACUUCCUGACUUUUCCUGGAGCUUCUUCUUGGCUUUGUCCCCUGCUGUUGACACUGCCUCCUGGACUGCUUGCCUGUCCACCUGUCCACCUACCUGUUCACCUGUUUGAACCUGCCCCACCAUUUUCUUCUCUUGAUCAGUUUCCUGCUUCAGACCAUGUUUGACCUUGAAGCUGAAGCCUGCAGUUUUGCUUUGAGACUGGCUUUCAGCUGCUCUCUCCCAGCACCUUUCUAGUUCAUUAUCUUAUCAAUGCAGACACUUCUUCAGCCCACUUCUGAAACCCCUUGAACUCUGCGGCAGCCUCUUUAACUUGUAUACAUUCUGUAACCCAUAUGGAGGCAUAUAUAUGUAUAUAAUAUGUUUAUAUAUAAAAUAUAUAUAAUAUAUUGCUGUGUGAUGUGUAAUAUGAGGGUUUCUAUUAGAAUUAAAAUUGAAAUAAAGAACCUGCAUUUCACCUUGUUCACACUACUGAGGUAGGUAGAUUAUAUGACAAAUUGUUGUCAUUGAAACUGCUAAACUUUGUGAAUUUGUUGUUAUCAUUAAAUCGGGACAUUGUAGAAAGACACAAACGUAUUUGUCUACGUUUCUGGCAUAGCAUGCUCACAGCACUUUAGCUUUCUGAAACCUUACGAGAGGGGCGUCAGUGCUGAUUUCUUGAUGUUUAUAUCCUGUUAGUUCUCUCAAUCUGCAUUGCAUGUGUCUGUGCCUUUUGAUAUGGUUGGACUUUUUCAAUUCAUGACUUAUUCAGAUUCUUUUUCGGCUUCAUACUCUUUUGAAACCUCUUAUAAUACAAGACAAGAUGGGAAGAGGGCAGAGCAUGAACUAGCACUGCUUUGCACGGUCAUGUUCUUUAUCCUUGUUGCUGGGUUUACGUUGUUUUCUGCUCAGCUCUGCAAACAUUCAUACACAUGUCUCACAUUUUCUUACUCUUCUGCACUGCCACUGAGUACAGGUAGAAAUCACACUGUUAAUGAUUACUCCUGACAGAAGGGAAAGGGAGUGGCACUCAUGUACACUAGGACUGCCCCCUUCUAACAGUGGUCAGAAGGAGGAAGAAAUUCUACUUCAUAUUGGGGCUUGCUGACAUCACAAUUGAGGGGCGGGUAGUAGAAAUGGAGUACCAACUAGCAGUGUCUCAAACCACCUUAUUGUGCCUGUUUACCAAAUGUGGGUAGGACGUCAGCCCUAUACUGGGUUCCAUUGACACUUGCCAGUGUAGAGAGCAGAAUCGGGGCUCUCACCAGCUCACCACCUCACUGUACUUUUCUAUUGCAAGAUACAUAUUGCAGAAGUCAAACCCAAGAUUCAGGAAGUUUCUGAAAAAUGUCCACAAUCUCAUAUCCUCAGUGUUAUGUAUCUAUAUGUAUUUUAUUGUCUAAAUGAUGUUCUACCUCUAAGUGUCCUUCCCUUUCCCAAGUCCUCUGUUCUGCCUCUGGAUAAUGCCGAGUCUUAGAGACCAUUUUAGGGCCUAGAAAGGAAUCCUGAAUCUAUUUUCUUACAUACAUCUUUUCAGCAUAACAUCUCAAUUUUGCCAGAAAUUGGUCCUACUGAUCUUUCUAGAUUCUGGGCUUUGGAGUCUAGCUUGUUUUGACCCUUGUUCAUGUUCUCUUGAGUUCAUACAGAACAAAUGUGUUGUCUGCAAUGUAUGUCCACAACUCUUCGGGCAGCCCUAUUAUUUCUUAACAAUCACUUAUCAAUAAUGUUUAUGAGCUAAGUGAUAAGAAUAUCAUAAUUAACAGAAAUGCACACACUCUUCUCUAUUGAAAUUAUCAGCCUUUCAUUCUGUGAAGAAAAUAAAUGAACAAAAACGUGAAAUGUAUAAAGUAUAUGUUUAUAAUUAGUAUGAAAAAGCGAAGAUAACGGGAAGGUAAAUUGAGAAAGAAUUGAGUAUGGGAUUGAAAGCCUGUGGCUUUAAGGAUAUGAGGAGGUUUACUUGGAUUGGAUCAGGGUUUCUGUAUGAUAGAGCGCUGUUGGGAAGUAAUAAAGUGGACUUCAUUUACACAACCAGACUACGAAGUGUAUUUAUCAGAAAUAUUCGAGCUGUCCGAGAGCUCACUGUUGGUAUUUGAAUGUGUGAAGUGUGUCUUCAUGUGGCCCAGUACAUGUACUGUGUUCACAGAGGCUUCUGCCUUUUGAAACAAUUAAAGCCUCAAUUUGAUAUUUUAAAAGCCAAAUAAAUAAAUAGUCUUCAUCAUGUGAA